AUCUUGUAAUGUAUUUAUGGUUGUGGUAUUAUGGGUCUGGGUAAUACCGUAUUAAAAGGGAAUCCGGUGAUAAAUCCGGAACUAUCCCCGUAGCUGUGAAUCCCCCUAAAAUUACCCCUGAAAUCGGUAUCGCCACUGUUGCGAACAACGUAACGGGAAGGCUUCAGCGGGUUGGGACAGUCAGAAGACCUGCCAUAAAUAUUGAGUGAUA
rnacentral:ncRNA from 2 species